GAUGAACGCUGGCGGCGUGCCUAAUACAUGCAAGUCGAGCGAACGGACGAGAAGCUUGCUUCUCUGAUGUUAGCGGCGGACGGGUGAGUAACACGUGGAUAACCUACCUAUAAGACUGGGAUAACUUCGGGAAACCGGAUCUAAUACCGGAUAAUAUUUUGAACCGCAUGGUUCAAAAGUGAAAGACGGUCUUGCUGUCACUUAUAGAUGGAUCCGCGCUGCAUUAGCUAGUUGGUAAGGUAACGGCUUACCAAGGCAACGAUGCAUAGCCGACCUGAGAGGGUGAUCGGCCACACUGGAACUGAGACACGGUCCAGACUCCUACGGGAGGCAGCAGUAGGGAAUCUUCCGCAAUGGGCGAAAGCCUGACGGAGCAACGCCGCGUGAGUGAUGAAGGUCUUCGGAUCGUAAAACUCUGUUAUUAGGGAAGAACAUAUGUGUAAGUAACUGUGCACAUCUUGACGGUACCUACUCAGAAAGCCACGGCUAACUACGUG
rnacentral:rRNA from 1 species